GGGAUAUUGCACAAUGGGGGAAACCCUGAUGCAGCAACGCCGCGUGAGGGAUGAAGGUUUUCGGAUUGUAAACCUCUGUCCUUAGGGAAGAAAAAAAUGACGGUACCUAAGGAGGAAGCUCCGGCUAACUACGUGCCAGCAGCCGCGGUAAUACGUAGGGAGCGAGCGUUGUCCGGAUUUAUUGGGUGUAAAGGGUGCGUAGGCGGCUAUUUAAGUCAGGCGUGUAAUUCAGAGGCUUAACCUCUUGACUGCGCUUGAAACUGGGUAGCUUGAGUGGAGUAGAGGCAGAUGGAAUUUCCAGUGUAGCGGUGAAAUGCGUAGAUAUUGGAAGGAACAUCGGUGGCGAAGGCGAUCUGCUGGGCUCUAACUGACGCUGAGGCACGAAAGCAUGGGGAGCAAACA
rnacentral:rRNA from 1 species